rnacentral:rRNA from 1 species
UACGUAGGGACCAAGCGUUGUUCGGAUUUACUGGGCGUAAAGGGCGCGUAGGCGGCGUGGUAAGUCACUUGUGAAAUCUCUGAGCUUAACUCAGAACGGCCAAGUGAUACUGCUGUGCUCGAGUGUGGAAGGGGCAAUCGGAAUUCUUGGUGUAGCGGUGAAAUGCGUAGAUAUCAAGAGGAACACCUGAGGUGAAGACGGGUUGCUGGGCCAACACUGACGCUGAGGCGCGAAAGCCAGGGGAGCGAACGGG